rnacentral:rRNA from 1 species
UACGUAGGGGGCAAGCGUUGUCCGGAAUUAUUGGGCGUAAAGAGCGCGUAGGCGGUCCUAUAAGUCGGCUGUGAAAGUCCAGGGCUCAACCUUGGAAAGCCGGCCGAUACUGUCGGACUAGAGUCCGGAAGAGGGAAGUGGAAUUCCCGGUGUAGCGGUGAAAUGCGCAGAUAUCGGGAGGAACACCAAUGGCGAAGGCAGCUUGCUGGGACGGUACUGACGCUGAGGCGCGAAAGCGUGGGGAGCAAACAGG